rnacentral:ncRNA from 12 species
UGAAAUAGAGGUAGAAAAGGUUCUCUACACGCUUAGAUGCGUUAGGCAUAUGUCUUAUCUAAGUUACCAGAGAUGUGGGGAGGAAUGGAAUUUUCCACUCGUCAAUGCCGUCCCACCUAUUUCA